CUGCGGAUGAACCGGUGCAGAGGCAGCGAGCACAGGGGACCACCCUCCAGCGCGCCCGUCAUGUACCUGGGCCACACAUACACACGUGUACACACGUGUGUGAGUGUGGACGUGUGUGUGUGUCCACGUGUACACACGUGCGGAUCUUAUUCUCCUCUUCGAGGACGAAGAGGUGGUCGCGCUUCAUGUAGAAGGCGGCGGUGGUGAGCAGGGCCUGCAGGGGCACGAGACCCACCACCUGGGAGCCCACGGCCGCCACGCACAGCUCCUGCAUUCCACACCGGCCGUCGCGGUUGAGCGCGAUGCGGUGCGCCUGCUCCUUGGUGCCCAGAACGUUGAUGUUGAAUGCGACGAGGAACUUUCUGGUGCCGGCGACGGUCGCCCCCCACGAUGGCACCAGCGUCGCGGGUCCAUAGUCCGGUGCCCAGGCCGGGUCCUUCAGCUGCCGUGACGGUCGCCGCCACCACCACCACCGUCGUCGUCGUCGUCACCACAAAAGACAAAGAUCCCCCGUAUAGCCUUUAACAGACUGUUAGGGCACGUGCUGUUAGUGACCACCUAAUGAAAGCUGGCAUGGCACACGUGGGGUCGGUGGCCAGCACGACCACGCACACACACACAUGCACAAACACGUGAACAUACACGCAUGCACACCGACAGCCAUUGUGUUAUUCCACUGCCAAAUGAGGGCCUACCCACGCUGUGCUGUUUGUGGAGGUUAUAUAUAUUCUAAAUUGUGCUUUACCACCUGCUGUUUGAGUUAUUG